GGGAAGGGAGAAUUCUGCCAGCAGCCUGCCUUUGGACUUGAACUGCAUCUCUUCCUUGGGUCUCCAGUCUGCCGACCUACCCUGGAGAUUUUGGACUUGCCAAGCCUCCACAAUCACCAGCCUCCUGUGACAUUGAGAGUCAUGCCUCAGCCGGGCUGAACUGUGCAGUGACAAAGGAGCUUCAGCUGUGUGGUCAGACAGACCCACCUUUGACUCCCAAACCCACCUCUUGGUUGCCUACCACAGCAUGGUUUGUCAAGCAGUGCCAUGUUCACACCCGGGAUCCGAACCUGUGAACCCCGGGCCGCCGAAGCAGAACGUGCAAAC
rnacentral:lncRNA from 1 species